rnacentral:rRNA from 1 species
UACGAAGGGGGCUAGCGUUGCUCGGAAUUACUGGGCGUAAAGGGCGCGUAGGCGGACAGUUUAGUCAGAGGUGAGAGCCCAGGGCUCAACCUUGGAACUGCCUUUGAUACUGACUGUCUUGAGUUCGGGAGAGGUGAGUGGAAUGCCGAGUGUAGAGGUGAAAUUCGUAGAUAUUCGGCGGAACACCAGUGGCGAAGGCGACUCACUGGCCCGAUACUGACGCUGAGGCGCGAAAGCGUGGGGAGCAAACAGG